ACCGUGGCUAUGACGGGUAACGGGGAAUUAGGGUUCGAUUCCGGAGAGGGAGCCUGAGAAACGGCUACCACAUCUAAGGAAGGCAGCAGGCGCGCAAAUUACCCAAUCCUAAUACAGGGAGGUAGUGACAAGAAAUAACAAUACAGAGCCUUACGGUUUUGUAAUUGGAAUGAGUUAAGUAUAAACCCCUUAACAAGUAUCAAUUGGAGGGCAAGUCUGGUGCCAGCAGCCGCGG
rnacentral:rRNA from 1 species